rnacentral:rRNA from 1 species
UACGUAGGGUGCGAGCGUUAAUCGGAAUUACUGGGCGUAAAGCGUGCGCAGGCGGCUCUUUAAGUCAGCUGUGAAAGCCCCGGGCUUAACCUGGGAAUUGCGGUUGAAACUGCAGGGCUAGAAUCUGGCAGAGGGGGGUGGAAUUCCACGUGUAGCAGUGAAAUGCGUAGAGAUGUGGAGGAACACCGAUGGCGAAGGCAGCCCCCUGGGCUGAGAUUGACGCUCAGGCACGAAAGCGUGGGGAGCAAACAGG